rnacentral:rRNA from 1 species
AUGGGCAGAUACCUUAUUGGUCCACAGAUUGCCUUAGCACGUGUUUACUACUCGGAGACUGGCAUAUGGGGUGACCUCAUCUCAACACCGACUCCAUGUCAGCUUCAUGAUACUGGUACACAUGGGUCAUUAGUUGGUAAUGCACUUUACUGGUCGUGCGAUGAUUACAUUUUUCAGUUUGAUUUGGAAGGUCAGAGCCUAGCUUUGAUCAAAGCUCCUCCUCCUCGCACUAUAAAUGAUGCCCGUGACUGCUUUGACAUGUGUGAGGUCAUCGAGAUCAUGGAUGGCGCAUUUGGUCUUGCCAUAUUGUCUCACUAUUACUAUAACAUUCAAAUGUGGCAAAGGAAGGUUAAUUGUCAGGGUGUUGCCAAAUGGGUCCUCUGGAAGACCAUUGAUAUGCAUAACAUUCAUGGAAUCCCCCAUGGGUUUGAAGGAGAGAGUCCAGAGUUAUGUAGACUGAGAUAUGUUGAGGAUACUGAUGAUAUAUUUCUCCAUGUGGGCACCAGUGUCUAUGUGGUUCAACUUAAGUCAAUGCAAUCUAAGAAACUUUGUGAAGCCCAUUAUGUUAAUUGA